rnacentral:rRNA from 1 species
AUUGAACGCUGGCGGCAUGCCUUACACAUGCAAGUCGAACGGCAGCACGGGAGCAAUCCUGGUGGCGAGUGGCGAACGGGUGAGUAAUAUAUCGGAACGUGCCCAGUCGUGGGGGAUAACGUAGCGAAAGCUACGCUAAUACCGCAUACGAUCUACGGAUGAAAGCGGGGGAUCGCAAGACCUCGCGCGAUUGGAGCGGCCGAUAUCAGAUUAGCUAGUUGGUGGGGUAAAAGCUCACCAAGGCGACGAUCUGUAGCUGGUCUGAGAGGACGACCAGCCACACUGGAACUGAGACACGGUCCAGACUCCUACGGGAGGCAGCAGUGGGGAAUUUUGGACAAUGGGCGCAAGCCUGAUCCAGCCAUGCCGCGUGCAGGAUGAAGGCCUUCGGGUUGUAAACUGCUUUUGUACGGAACGAAAAGACUCUUUCUAAUAAAGAGGGUCCAUGACGGUACCGUAAGAAUAAGCACCGGCUAACUACGUG